AGGAGUUUGAAGGGGUUGUAGCUGGUCUUUUCCGAGACAUGUGCACGCCCUGCUCAUCCAUUCUACCCCUGUGCACACUCUGUAGGUCGGUUUUGAAGUGAUUCCUCACGGAAUUGCUCGGGCCUUCCUAUGUUUUCAUAUAAACACUUUAAAGUCAAAGAAUGUAAUCGCGUGUAACGCAUUUAAUACAACUUUCAGCAACGGAUCUCUUGGCUCUCGCAUCGAUGAAGAACGCAGCGAAAUGCGAUAAGUAAUGUGAAUUGCAGAAUUCAGUGAAUCAUCGAAUCUUUGAACGCACCUUGCGCUCCUUGGUAUUCCGAGGAGCAUGCCUGUUUGAGUGUCAUGGAAUUCUCAACCCUCUUAUCUUUGUUAUGAGAUGGGCUUGGACUUGGAGGUUAUUGCCGGCUUGUCAUGAGUCUGGCUCCUCUUGAAUUCAUUAGCUUGAACCCUUGUGGAUCGGCUACUCGGUGUGAUAAUUGUCUACGCCGUGUGCUGUGAAGCUUUCAAACACUUUGUUGUGUUGAGGGAUUUGCUUCUAAUCGUCCUUCAAUGGACAAUUUUUGACCU
rnacentral:sRNA from 1 species